rnacentral:rRNA from 1 species
GAUGAACGCUGGCGGCGUGCUUAACACAUGCAAGUCGAACGAAGCAUUUAAGACAGAUUACUUCGGUUUGAAGUCUUUUAUGACUGAGUGGCGGACGGGUGAGUAACGCGUGGGUAACCUGCCUCAUACAGGGGGAUAGCAGCUGGAAACGGCUGGUAAUACCGCAUAAGCGCACAGUACCACAUGGUACAGUGUGAAAAACUCCGGUGGUAUGAGAUGGACCCGCGUCUGAUUAGCUUGUUGGCGGGGUAACGGCCCACCAAGGCGACGAUCAGUAGCCGACCUGAGAGGGUGACCGGCCACAUUGGGACUGAGACACGGCCCAGACUCCUACGGGAGGCAGCAGUGGGGAAUAUUGCACAAUGGAGGAAACUCUGAUGCAGCGACGCCGCGUGAGUGAAGAAGUAGUUCGCUAUGUAAAGCUCUAUCAGCAGGGAAGAUAGUGACGGUACCUGACCAAGAAGCUCCGGCUAAAUACGUG